rnacentral:tRNA from 1 species
GGCGUCGUACCCAAGCGGUAAGGGGCAGGUCUGCAAAACCUUUAUUCAUCGGUUCGAUUCCGAUCGACGCCU